UGGGGAAUAUUGCACAAUGGGGGAAACCCUGAUGCAGCGACGCCGCGUGAGUGAAGAAGUAUCUCGGUACGUAAAGCUCUAUCAGCAGGGAAGAAAAUGACGGUACCUGACUAAGAAGCCCCGGCUAACUACGUGCCAGCAGCCGCGGUAAUACGUAGGGGGCAAGCGUUAUCCGGAUUUACUGGGUGUAAAGGGAGCGUAGACGGCAGCACAAGUCUGGAGUGAAAUCCCGGGGCUUAACCCCGGAACUGCUUUGGAAACUGUGCGGCCGGAGUGCAGGAGGGGUAAGCGGAAUUCCUAGUGUAGCGGUGAAAUGCGUAGAUAUUAGGAGGAACACCGGUGGCGAAGGCGGCUUACUGGACUGUAACUGACGUUGAGGCUCGAAAGCGUGGGGAGCAAACAGG
rnacentral:rRNA from 1 species